GAUGGGAUGGGAUGGGAUGGGAUGGGAUGGGAUGGGAUGGGAUGGGAUGGGAUGGGAUGGGAUGGGAUAGGAUAGGUUAGGAUAGGAUAGGAUAGGAUAGGAUAGGAUAGGAUAGGAUAGGAUAGGAUAGGAUAGGAUAGGAUAGGAUAGGAUAGGAUAGGAUAGGAUAGGAUAGGAUAGGAUAGGAUAGGAUAGGAUAGGAUAGGGUAGAGUAGGGUAGGACAGGAUGAUAGGAGAAGACAGGGGAAAAGGGGAGAGGAGAGGAGAAAAAAGGAGAGGAGAGAAGAGAAGAUGAGAAGAGAUGAGAGAAAAGGAGAGGAGAGAGAAGCAAGAAGAGGAAAGGAGAGGAGAAGAGAGAAGAAGAGGACAGGACAGGAGAGGAGAGGACAGGAGAAAAUGGGAUGACUUUAAGAGACAAUUAAAUACUUACCCCAGAUAGGAAUUUCUCUUCUCUUCUAUAUCUCCAUUUAUGUAAAACAUAAAAUUUCCCCUGAAAUAAGAUGGGGAAGAGAGGCGAGGAGAAGACAGGACAGGACAGAACAGAACAGGAGAGGACAGAACAGGACAGGACAGGACAGGAGAGGACAGGACAGGACAGAACAGGACAGAAGAGGACAGGACAGGAUAGAAGGGGACAGGAGAAAAUGGGAUGACUUUAAGAGACAAUUAAAUACUUACCCCAGAUAGUAAUUUCUCUUCUAUAUAAAACACAAAAGUUUUUCCUGAAAUAAGAUGGAUGCUUCCUCUAUACAAAAAGCAGGAGGUAACCAAUCCCAAGUCUCCUUUGCUGUGGAUACUGAGUAACUUUUUUUUCAACUAUAUUCCAUAAAUGUUAAUCACACACCUUCCUUCUCAGAAUAGUAAUCUUAGAUGUUCAUCUUGAUUCUACUUGAUUUCCUUAAAAAAUUUUGUUUCUCACAUUAAAUCCUUAAAUCCUCUUCAUAUGUAUUUGAUGGGAGUACUUGGUGGAACUGGACACAAAUGUUCAUUCUCUUGGAAAGUAAAGUUAUAAACAUUAUUUAUUAUAAUUUGGAGAAACAUGAAAAUUUUUUUCAAUUUUCCUUUAAUAUCUAUUUUUAUGAAAUAGAAAUUGUGAUUUUUUAAAUAACAAACCAAAAAUCCUUCCUUGGAUCUACAGACUGGGGUUUUUUAAAGGGUUAUGUUUUCUAAAUUGAAAAAAAUGCACAAUGAAAUAUGUUCCUCUUUAAUGCAAAAACACAGUAACCCUAGUUACAAAAGGGAUGUGUCCAAAUGAUCCAGUUAUUGGCAAGGAGAGCCAAGAAUACACAUGGAUCCUAAUCCCUGAUUAGGCACAGCCCUCAGAAAAUUCCCUCUCUUCAGUUUUCCCUUUCUGUAAAAUGAAGAUAAUACUUACAUACCUACCUCAUAGGAAUAUUGAGGAUUAAUUAGCUUAUGUGUGUUAAGUGCUUUAUAAGUAAAAAGCACCAUUAUAUUUGAUAAGUAUUAUUCUUAAUACAAAUGGGAACUGUGUACAUCGAAGGAAGAAGAUUUCCAUAAUAGGAAUGGAAUGGGAGUGAGGUGGGAUCUAAAGUGGAGUGGUAUUAGUAAGAAAACAGCAAUAAUUUAUUGAGCAAAGAAUAGAAUUAUUUUGGUCAUUUAAUAAAAUUCAAACCUUUUCUGAAAAGGUCUGUGUAGAAUUUAUUUAUUUAUUUAUUUAUUAUCAACCAUUGUUAAGAUGGCUUCUUUUUCUACACUAAUACAAAUUUUAUUUUAAUGAAAGUUUAACUUCUUUCCCAAAUCUGAAUCUUAACAUACAUUUUAAAUUUAUUCAAAGAAUUCUAUUCCCUCUUAGUGUCUGGGGAGUACACAUCCAUAUCCAUAUAUUCAAGGAUGAAACAUAUGCUCCCAUAGUACAUCUCUAAUGAGAGCCAAGGGGCAUUAAAAACUGAAAACUUCCAAUAUCACUAUAUAGUUAGCAGCCUAACAAAAACCCACCACUACAGUAGGGUUUUUCAAAACCAGGGGACUGAGAAAAGAAACAUUGUUCCUCCACAUUUAGAUGUCAUUCCCCAACUUGGAUGAUUCCCUUUAAAACCUAUAAAGAUUUUAAAGCAUCAUUCUUGUCUGUUAUUCUUGAGCUGAUUCAUUUUCUCAUUAGAAGUACAUUUUAACUGCUUUAGAGAAAUCUUUACACAAGAGCUUCAGAUAGUUUUAUAUAACUUUACAAAUGAAAUUUUUAGUGAAAAGAGAGGGAAAGUUGUUUUAUUUUUUUUAAAUGGGGAUGUUGUCCAGUGCAAUAAUAUUUGUUUCUAUUAGUUCAACUUUAAACCUGCUAAGAAGUAUUGAAGAAUAACAUUUUUUUCUUUUGCUAUUAACUUUGUAUAAAUUUUCAAUAAUUGCAGGAAUAUUGAACUAGUGCUAAAUCCAUGAAACUCCUUUGCUACCUUGUAGGAAUUUUUAAGAAAUUUAAUAAUUUCAUAUAGUAUGACACAUAUUAUCAAUGUUUUAAGAAUGUAAUUUCAUUGAGGAAUAAUUUUAAAUAUAGACAGAUAUAAAAAUAUAUGUAUACAUAAACAAAUGCUCAGGACAUUUUUCUCUAAAUCAUUUUCUUCUGAAUGUUAUUAUGUCUCUGAAUUCAUAUACCAUUGGAACUCCAAUGAAGAGAUUUUUAAAAGUUUAUUUUGAGUAGUUUUUAAAAGUUUUUGUUCCUGAAGUUCUCAUGACAUAAAAUCAAGUGAAUCCUGCAGCUUCUGACAUCUAGUUUGAAGGCAGUAUUUUGUCAUCUCAAAAUUUUAGAUUGGUUAAAAUAUUUCUAAUAAAGUAGAAAAGUUAAACUGUAUAAAGUUUUCUGAUAUAGUGUUCUCAGCUCAUACAACUGUCAAAUUUUUAAAAUUACAUUUAAAAGACAUUAAACUUACAGAGUACGAGUGAGGGCUGAGGUAGGAGCAGAAAUUAAUCCAAAUCAAUCCUAGAUCAACCCUAAUUAGAGCAACCCUAAUUGAUCUUGGGUCCCAGAUCAAUUAUCCAGAUAAAUUCUAUCUUCUUCCAGUUCUAAAAUUCUAUGAUAGUAUGACCAGGCAGAGGUAUUGCUUGUUUUCCAUGCAGUUGAGAAGUGGAGAUUGACAGUAUCUGUGCUUUGUUUGCAUAAGAGUAAAUUUAUUUGAAGGAUUCUGUUCCCUCUUAGUGUCUAAGGAAUACACAUCCAUGUCCAUACAAGGAUGAAACAUUUGCUCCCUUAGUGACAUAGUUCCAUAGUGACAAAAUAAUUCAGAGCCAGAACUUCUAAAGUGAAAUUUCUUUAGAAAAACAAGAGGAAAAGAAUAGUAUUAACCAUCCAAUCCAUAUAGCUGCCAUCAAAAAUACAGAAUCUCCAGAAUGUCAGUAUCAGAGAAGACCUCAUGGAUCACCUCAUCCAUUCCUUUUCAUUUGACAGAUUAAGGAGCUAAAGUCCAGAGGUAGGAUUGCAUAGUUAGCACAGAAUCUAGACUAAAAUCAGAUGUUCUCAGGCUCCCUUUCCCUUGCCUUCCCAUUCUGCCACACAGAGAGCCCCCACAGAGGCCCAGGAAUAAAAGCUCCAGAAGCCCUUUCAAUAAAUGAAUGAUAAAAAACAAACUGCUCCAGUUUAAAUGUAUUAUAUAUUUCAAUUACCUCGAAAAGACCCAGAAAAAGAAUUCUGGAAUUCUCUGAAAUCUAAUAAAGCAUAAAGAUCUGUCUAUCCUAAUCAUCCAUACCCACCCCAGCAAAAUAUGAGGGAUUUGACUUGAGACAAAUAGCAUCUGCAAUACCGGCUUUGCUUUUCUUAUUAAAAGCUUAUUCAUUACGUUAAUAUCAACUAUUAUUAUUUUGAACAUUAAACCAGUAUUCCAUAAUGACUUUUUAUUUUUAAUCAGGUACACUCAGUUAAAGCUCUACCUCAUGAGCAAAACCGGAAAAGUUCUCCUUCCCUCAAAAGAAUGUAGCAGUGAUACAAAGGAUAGCAUGAUGGACUUGGAUUCAAAUCCCACCCUCACCACUUACUGCCUGACUGUGACCUUCGCAAAUCAUUCUACCACUUUUUUUUUUUUU